GCCCAUAUGGCUCAGUGGGUAGGGUGCCGGCCACAUACACGGAGGCUGGUGGGUUCGAACCCCGCUGGGGGCA
rnacentral:tRNA from 1 species